AUUGAACGCUGGCGGCAUGCCUUACACAUGCAAGUCGAACGGUAACAGGCCGCAAGGUGCUGACGAGUGGCGAACGGGUGAGUAAUGCAUCGGAACGUGCCCAGUCGUGGGGGAUAACGCAGCGAAAGCUGCGCUAAUACCGCAUACGAUCUAUGGAUGAAAGCGGGGGACCGUAAGGCCUCGCGCGAUUGGAGCGGCCGAUGUCAGAUUAGGUAGUUGGUGGGGUAAAGGCUCACCAAGCCAACGAUCUGUAGCUGGUCUGAGAGGACGACCAGCCACACUGGGACUGAGACACGGCCCAGACUCCUACGGGAGGCAGCAGUGGGGAAUUUUGGACAAUGGGCGCAAGCCUGAUCCAGCAAUGCCGCGUGCAGG
rnacentral:rRNA from 1 species